GGGCACUUGUUAGGUAAAUAAUUUGAUUACUUUUUUUUUUUGAGAAAAAAAUAAUUUGACUACUUCAUAUAUAAUCGAAUGACAGUGAUGAUUUCCACUUUGGUUUUUAAGAUUUUCAUCUGCAAAAAGACUGAGAUUUUAAAACUAAUUUAAAUAUAUUCUCACAAUCCGGUUUUCAUAAAAUUGAACAUAUAUUUUUUCAUUAGGGAAUUGGUCCAAACUCCACCAGUUUACAAAAAAAGAAAAAAAAAGAGCAUAAAUUUUUCAUUCACAUUAAUUUCAUUUAAUUUGCCAUUUAUGGAUUAUAAUGCCUAUCAGCAACAUCAAAUUUUAAAGAAUAUGGACCAUCUUAUACUUAUCAGCUUCGAUUAAACGAAAACCAUAUGUUGAACAAAAAAAGUUACCAUAAUGGUUUUUUUG
rnacentral:lncRNA from 1 species